UUAAUAUUUCAGUUAGUUAGUUAGUUAGUUAGGUAAUUAAUUAGUUGGUUAAAUACAGGUUAGUUAAGGUAGUUUCUUUAAUACAUAAAUGUAAUUGUAUAUAUAAGUAAGAGGGCUCAUAUGUACAGAUACACACAGAAAUAUACAAAGCUUCUUCUUCAUCAUUCUCUCAUCUCUUCUCUCGUCUUCUUCAUCUUCUUAAAGCUCAUUGAUAGAGCUUUUCUUCACAUAUCCAAAUGUCUUCUCUUCAGAAAGUCUAUGGCACCUAUCACUGCACCACACUGUUGAGCCAUCUUUUUCAGUUUCCUCUAAUUCCAAUUCAUAAAUCCAAUCCUGCAAGUAAAGAAUAAUGAUCAGAAUAGAUGUGUAUAUAUCAAAUGAAAAAAAGGAGAGACUGGUAGAGCUCCUCUUUGUCAGCGUUGGUUAGAGAUGCAAAUGAGUGAGCAUACCUGUGAUCUACACUACUCUUAACCAAAAUGAGCAAUUCUUUGUUGUUGUUUUUUUGUUUGUUGUAGUCAAAAUUCAUCCUCCAAUAAUUCUCUUUCAUCUUCAAUAACUGCACUUGAUUCUUUUCGUGUGAAAGGAAAAAAAUUAGGUACUAAUAGACAAAGACUUGUCAAUUCUUUUUCUUCUUUUUUCCUCUAAUGCACCACAGAUAGA
rnacentral:lncRNA from 1 species